UCUUGACUGCUCCUAUUACACAACCGAGGAAAGGAAAACAUUUGGAAAAGAAAAUUACUUAUCUCUAUGGUGGCAGAGUGCUAAGACUGACAAAAACAUUUAGUUAUUGUAACUUACAGGGAGCACAAAAAAUAAAAGGUAUAAAUCAGGGUAUAAAUGCUUCCUGGCAUAAAGCUGAUGUACCUGCCAACUCACUUUAAAUGUUUGGAAAGAAGUUUUCCAGAUUACCGUUGUCUUUGCCAAUGGUGACGGUAAAGCACCUUUUAGCUUCUGCUCUAAUUCAAGCUCUUUAAAUCAAGUUGUUGCGGCGAACCAGCUGAAUAGCCGCUGCUAAGCUUGAGUGACAAGACAAAACUGAUAUUAUUGAAAGAGAGGAAAGCUGCCCGUGCAGAUUGUUUUUUCUUUAAAAGUCACAGGAAAAUAAAUAAAUGUGUUCAGUGGCUUCACAAAACAUCCUGAAUGAAGAUUGUAAAGCAGAGUGAAAAGUGCUUUUACCUGAUACUCUAGAAUCCAGGGCUACAGGAGUAAGCCACAGAGGGGUGGGAGAGAGAAAAACAGAAAGGCAAACAGACAUAAAAUACAAAGGAGAAAGGAUGUAAGUAGAAAUGUAAGAAAUACACUGAAGCGCAUACCUCCGCCAAGGCCUGCUCAAAAGUUUAUCAUCAUAUUCCUGACCAGAUCAAACAUCCUCAUCAGUUUAUGUGCAAAGUUGCUCUCACACGUGCAUCAACAAAAAGAGUGCAUUUCUGUAGCACUUUUCCAUCUGAUACCAAUGCACAAAGCACUUAAUAAUCAUGCCC